CGAACGAAACUUCUUUAUCACCGAGUGCUUGCACUCACCGGUAAAGGGUUGAGUGGCGAACGGGUGAGUAACACGUGGGCAACCUGCCCAAAAGAGGGGGAUAACACUUGGAAACAGGUGCUAAUACCGCAUAACCAUAGUUACCGCAUGGUAACUAUGUAAAAGGUGGCUAUGCUACCGCUUUUGGAUGGGCCCGCGGCGCAUUAGCUAGUUGGUGGGGUAAAGGCUUACCAAGGCAAUGAUGCGUAGCCGAACUGAGAGGUUGAUCGGCCACAUUGGGACUGAGACACGGCCCAAACUCCUACGGGAGGCAGCAGUAGGGAAUCUUCCACAAUGGGCGAAAGCCUGAUGGAGCAACGCCGCGUGGGUGAAGAAGGUCUUCGGAUCGUAAAACCCUGUUGUUAGAGAAGAAAGUGCGUGAGAGUAGCUGUUCACGUUUCGACGGUAUCUAACCAGAAAGCCACGGCUAACUACGUGCCAGCAGCCGCGGUAAUACGUAGGUGGCAAGCGUUAUCCGGAUUUAUUGGGCGUAAAGGGAACGCAGGCGGUCUUUUAAGUCUGAUGUGAAAGCCUUCGGCUUAACCGGAGUAGUGCAUUGGAAACUGGGAGACUUGAGUGCAGAAGAGGAGAGUGGAACUCCAUGUGUAGCGGUGAAAUGCGUAGAUAUAUGGAAGAACACCAGUGGCGAAAGCGGCUCUCUGGUCUGUAACUGACGCUGAGGUUCGAAAGCGUGGGUAGCAAACAGGAUUAGAUACCCUGGUAGUCCACGCCGUAAACGAUGAAU
rnacentral:rRNA from 1 species